rnacentral:misc_RNA from 1 species
AACCUAGCACACCUGCGGUGUGUACCUGCGGAGGGAUCAUUACCGAGUUUACAAACUCCCAACCCUUUGUGAACCUUACCAUAUUGUUGCUUCGGCGGGACCGCCCCGGCGCCUUCGGGCCCGGAACCAGGCGCCCGCCGGGGGCCCCAAACUCUUAUGUCUUUAGUGGUUUUCUCCUCUGAGUGACACAUAAACAAAUAAAUAAAAACUUUUAACAACGGAUCUCAGAUCGGAAGAGCA